CGGCAGCUUACACAUGCAAGUCGAGCGGUAACAGGGGGUGCUUGCACCCCGCUGACGAGCGGCGGACGGGUGAGUAAUGCAUAGGAAUCUGCCCAGUAGUGGGGGAUAGCCCGGGGAAACCCGGAUUAAUACCGCAUACGCCCUUUGGGGGAAAGCAGGGGAUCUUCGGACCUUGCGCUAUUGGAUGAGCCUAUGUCGGAUUAGCUAGUUGGUGGGGUAAAGGCCUACCAAGGCGACGAUCCGUAGCUGGUCUGAGAGGAUGAUCAGCCACAUCGGGACUGAGACACGGCCCGAACUCCUACGGGAGGCAGCAGUGGGGAAUAUUGGACAAUGGGGGCAACCCUGAUCCAGCCAUGCCGCGUGUGUGAAGAAGGCUUUCGGGUUGUAAAGCACUUUCAGUGAGGAGGAAAACCUUCUGGUUAAUACCCAUGAGGCUUGACGUUACUCACAGAAGAAGCACCGGCUAACUCCGUGCCAGCAGCCGCGGUAAUACGGAGGGUGCAAGCGUUAAUCGGAAUUACUGGGCGUAAAGCGCGCGUAGGUGGUUUGAUAAGCGAGAUGUGAAAGCCCCGGGCUUAACCUGGGAACGGCAUUU
rnacentral:rRNA from 1 species